CCCUUAGACGUUCUGGGCCGCACGCGCGCUACACUGACCAGUGCAACAAGCAUCCGUCCUUGGCCGACAGGCCCGGGCAAUCUUUGAACGCUGGUCGUGAUGGGGAUAGACUUUUGCAAUUUUUGGUCUUCAACGAGGAAUUCCUAGUAAACGCAAGUCAUCAACUUGCAUUGAUUACGUCCCUGCCCUUUGUACACACCGCCCGUCGCACCUACCGAUUGAAUGGUCCGGUGAAGCCUCGGGAUUGUGGUUCUUGCCGCUUUAUUGUGGCGUGACCGCGAGAACUUGUCUAAACCUUAUCAUCUAGAGGAAGGUGAAGUCGUAACA
rnacentral:rRNA from 1 species